UGAGGAAUAUUGGUCAAUGGACGCAAGUCUGAACCAGCCAAGUAUCGUUCAGGAUGACGGCCCUAUGGGUUGUAAACUGCUUUUAUAUGUGGAUAAAGUUGGGAACGUGUUCCCUUUUGCAGGUACCAUAUGAAUAUUUACCGGCUAUUUCCGUGCCAGCAGCCGCGGUAAUACGGAAGGUUCGGGCGUUAUCCGGAUUUAUUGGGUUUAAAGUGAGCGUAGGCCGUUUGGUAAGCGUGUUGUGUAAUGUAGGAGCUCAACUUCUAGAUUGCAGCGCGAACUGUCAGACUUGAGUGCGCACAACGUAGGCGGAAUUCAUGGUGUGGCGGUGAAAUGCUUAGAUAUAAUGAAGAACUCCGAUUGCGAAGGCAGCUUACGGGGGCGCAACUGACGCUGAAGCUCGAAGGAGCGGGUAUCGAACAGG
rnacentral:rRNA from 1 species